CUAAGGGGUCUGACUUUCCAAAAUGUACCAGAUUCCAUCUGAUCUUGGAAGCUGAAGAGCAUCAGCUUAAAUUAGUACUUGGAUGGGUGACCGCUAAUGAACACCAAGUGAUGUAGGCU
rnacentral:rRNA from 1 species